AUACAGCUGACGAGUUCGAAAUAGGACGACACGUGUGUCCUGGAU
rnacentral:hammerhead_ribozyme from 1 species